GACGAACGCUGUCGGCGUGCCUAAUACAUGCAAGUUGAGCGCUGAAGGUUGGUACUUGUACCAACUGGAUGAGCAGCGAACGGGUGAGUAACGCGUGGGGAAUCUGCCUUUGAGCGGGGGACAACAUUUGGAAACGAAUGCUAAUACCGCAUAAAAACUUUAAACACAAGUUUUAAGUUUGAAAGAUGCAAUUGCAUCACUCAAAGAUGAUCCCGCGUUGUAUUAGCUAGUUGGUGAGGUAAAGGCUCACCAAGGCGAUGAUACAUAGCCGACCUGAGAGGGUGAUCGGCCACAUUGGGACUGAGACACGGCCCAAACUCCUACGGGAGGCAGCAGUAGGGAAUCUUCGGCAAUGGACGAAAGUCUGACCGAGCAACGCCGCGUGAGUGAAGAAGGUUUUCGGAUCGUAAAACUCUGUUGGUAGAGAAGAACGUUGGUGAGAGUGGAAAGCUCAUCAAGUGACGGUAACUACCCAGAAAGGGACGGCUAACUACGUG
rnacentral:rRNA from 1 species